UAAAAUCUAUUAGUGUAAACCCAAUUCUCUAAUUUUUAUUUAUUUUAAUUAUUGUUGGGUGAUUUCUAUUGCAAUAGAUGUCAAUGUGCAAGUGUACACAACAAAUAAUAUACUGAUAAGUAUUCAGAUCGUCUCUAUAAGGAUUGAUGUUAUCAAAUUUGCUACAUCAAUUUUAACAGUGCAAUUUCAGUCUAGAUUAAAAUGAAAAUAAUUAGUGAGACUAAUGAACUAACUAAAGUAAAGUAAAUGCAAUAAAUAAAAUACAAUAAGAAAAUUUCUCUAACCAAACACAAUGAUGAAUUCAAUGGAAAAAGAGUAGUUAAGUGAUUAAACUCACUUAAUGGUAUUAACUAUUUUUUUUUCAAUUUCAGUAUCGUUGCUACAACAUCUACUACAAUACUGGGUAGAAUCUCUCAUGCAUCCUCAGUUAUCGUCUGUUGGAUAUCUUAUACCUAAUGCAACAUAACAGUGACCAAUUGUUACGCUAACAUUGGAUAUAGCAUUAAAUGUUAUAGGUUCCAUUUACCAUGCAAGGUAAAUCUCUAUGUCUAGUUCUUCACUAAUUUUAGAUCAAGCAUGACCAUAUUCUAAUCGAGAUUAACUUAAUUUGGGAAACUCAAUCUAAAAAUAAGUAUUGUCUUAAUUUGUUCCACUAAGUCACACAUUUUUUGGGCUCUUUUUUAGCUAGUAUCCACUAAAUGGGUGGUCAUCCGAAAUGCGAAUUGCAAUAAUUGAAAUUAAGACAAAAUGUCACAGCAAGUUCAGAGAAAUACGCAUAUAACAGUCAGUUAACCAUUAAACUUGUUCAUCACUCAACCACAAUAAAAUUUAACUCAUGAUUUGCGAUAGAACAGUAACAAAAAUUGUUUUAGCCAUCCAAUAGAUUCGCAUAAAUUAAAAAAAAAAAACAAGAAACUAAGAUAAAGAGUUGAAGUUCACUUGAUCUUGCAAUCUCUCCUUCUUAUUCUCUGUGAAUCAUCUAUUGCAGCCCUCAAUUCUCUCUUAAUAUAUGUUUUCUUAGUGAUAGCUCUCCCUCUUUUUCUUUUCAUACGUGCUCCUUUUAUAACUUGGAAUUAGAGCAAUCAAAAGCAUGUGGCCGCGUAUUUCCCAUUUUUGGAAACUUGAUAUCACAAUCUUUCAGUCAAUGCAUUCGAAAUCCAAUCUGUCAUUGCUACAAAAUUGUUAUACAAACAGCUACAACAUCUUCAUUGUUUCAUACUUGUUUUAACUCAUCUGCAGCCAAAUUCUUUUGUUAUCUUUGCAAGUCUGUUGCAGUAGUAUUCCAUCCAUAAAACUUGAGUUUUUUGGUCUUCUACAAUCAUGCACAUAAUCUAAGCACCAAAUGAUCUAAAACAUGAUUAAUUUAUCAAAAUUAAACUUAAAUAAAUAUUUAUGCCAAAUAUAAUUAAAAUGCAACAACUCAAACAUGAUUAAUUUAUCAAAAUUAAACUUAAAUAAAUAUUUUUACAAAAUGUAACCAAAAUGCAACAAAAACACAUCAUUUACUCUCUAAAUAAUAUUGAUUUAAGCUUAAACGUACCCUGAUAACUCUCAUUUUCUAGAGUUAUCAAUUAUUAAACCCCAUUUCAAUAAUAAUUUCUUCCAUUCAAAAGAAAAAAAAAGUUUUUAUUCUCCCCAUUAUAGCCACCGGUGGUAAAUUCUUCACCCAAAAAUUAGAGGAAAAAAGCAAACUUCUUAAUUUAUAAAAUGUUAGAUUUUUUUAGGGGAAAAAUUAUUUGACUUUUGCGUGGGGGCUUAAUUAGAAAUUGUCCUAUUAGGUAAUUUUAAAUAAAAGUUAAAAUUGUAUAAUAAUUAAAUGGGUUUUAAGAGAUAUUUGGAGGGGUGCCAAAAGUCCCACUCUUUUUUCUUUUUUUUGUCUCAUGUGAUUCACGAAUCCAUACCCUAUUUUGAAACUGAAUAAUUGACGUAUUUAAUUUAGAACCAU
rnacentral:lncRNA from 1 species